AACGAACGCUGGCGGCAGGCCUAACACAUGCAAGUCGAACGCUCCGCAAGGAGAGUGGCAGACGGGUGAGUAACGCGUGGGAAUUUCCCCCAAGGUUCGGAAUAACUGAGGGAAACUUCAGCUAAUACCGAAUGGUACCGAGAGGUUAAAGAUUUAUCGCCUUGGGAUGAGCCCGCGUUGGAUUAGCUAGUUGGUGAGGUAACGGCUCACCAAGGCUUUGAUCCAUAGCUGGUCUGAGAGGACGACCAGCCACACUGGGACUGAGACACGGCCCAGACUCCUACGGGAGGCAGCAGUGGGGAAUAUUGGACAAUGGGCGCAAGCCUGAUCCAGCCAUGCCGCGUGAGUGAUGAAGGCCUUAGGGUUGUAAAGCUCUUUCACCGAUGAAGAUAAUGACGGUAGUCGGAGAAGAAGCCCCGGCUAACUUCGUGCCAGCCGCCGCGGUAACAC
rnacentral:rRNA from 1 species